rnacentral:rRNA from 1 species
UACGAAGGACCCAAGCGUUAUCCGGAUUUAUUGGGUUUAAAGGGUGCGUAGGCGGGCUGUUAAGUCAGUGGUGAAAGCUCCGAGCCUAACUCGGAAACUGCCAUUGAUACUGACGGUCUUGAGUACAUUUGAGGUGGGCGGAAUGUGUCAUGUAGCGGUGAAAUGCUUAGAUAUGACACAGAACACCGAUUGCGAAGGCAGCUCACUAAACUGUAACUGACGCUGAGGCACGAAAGCGUGGGGAGCAAACAGG